GACGAACGCUGGCGGCGUGCCUAAUACAUGCAAGUAGAACGCCGUUUCGAACGGGUGAGUAACGCGUAUGUAACUUCCUCAUAGCGGGGGAUAACUAUUUGAAACGCUCGCUAAUACCGCAUACUGUUAGCUGGACCUGAGUUGUCUUAGCUAGUUGGUGAGGUAAAGGCUCACCAAGGCGACGAUACAUAGCCGACCUGAGAGGGUGAUCGGGCAAAAGGGGAAUGAGAAACGGGCCAGAAUGCUACGGGAGGCAGCAGUAGGGAAUCUUCGGAAAUGGACGGAAGUCUGAACGAGCAAAGCCGCGUGAGUGAAGAAGGUUUUCGGAUCGUAAAGCUAUGUUGUGAGAGAAGCGGUAACUAACCAGAAAGGGACGGCUAACUGCGUGCCAGCAGCCGCGGUAAUAC
rnacentral:rRNA from 1 species